rnacentral:rRNA from 1 species
GGGGAAUAUUGCACAAUGGGCGAAAGCCUGAUGCAGCGACGCCGCGUGCGGGAUGAAGGCCUUCGGGUUGUAAACCGCUUUUGUUAGGGAGCAAGCGAGAGUGAGUGUACCUUUCGAAUAAGCACCGGCUAACUACGUGCCAGCAGCCGCGGUAAUACGUAGGGUGCAAGCGUUAUCCGGAAUUAUUGGGCGUAAAGAGCUCGUAGGCGGUUUGUCGCGUCUGGUGUGAAAGUCCAUCGCUUAACGGUGGAUCUGCGCCGGGUACGGGCAGGCUGGAGUGCAGUAGGGGAGACUGGAAUUCCCGGUGUAACGGUGGAAUGUGUAGAUAUCGGGAAGAACACCAAUGGCGAAGGCAGGUCUCUGGGCUGUUACUGACGCUGAGGAGCGAAAGCGUGGGGAGCGAAC